rnacentral:rRNA from 1 species
UGCUUGGGAAUAUGCCUUUUGGUGGGGACGAACAGUUGGAAACGAACUGCUAAUAACCGCCAUAAAUAGUCUACGGACCAAAGUAGGGGACCGUUCGGCCGUCAUGCCAAGAAGAUUAGCCCAACGUGAGAUUAGCUAGUUGGUAAGGUAAAGGCUUACCAAGGCGACGAUCUCUAGCUGGUUUGAGAGGAUGAUCAGCCACACUGGGACUGAGACACGGCCCAAACUCCUACGGGAGGCAGCAGUGGGGAAUCUUGCACAAUGGAGGAAACUCUGAUGCAGCGAUGCCGCGUGAAGUGA